ensembl:snRNA U6 U6 spliceosomal RNA
GUGCUUGCUUUGGCAGCACAUAUACUAAAAUUGGAACGAUAGAGAAGAGUAGCUUGGCCUCUGUGCAAGGAUGGCAUGCAAAUUCAUGAAGUGUUCCAUAUUUAA